rnacentral:rRNA from 1 species
UACAGAGGGGGCAAGCGUUGUUCGAAAUUACUGGGCGUAAAGGGCGCGUAGGCGGCCUUCUAAGUCGAACGUGAAAUCCCCGGGCUCAACCCGGGAACUGCGUCCGAUACUGGAAGGCUUGAAUCCGGGAGAGGGAUGUGGAAUUCCAGGUGUAGCGGUGAAAUGCGUAGAUAUCUGGAGGAACACCGGUGGCGAAGGCGACAUCCUGGGACCGGUAUUGACGCUGAGGCGCGAAAGCCAGGGGAGCAA